UACGUAGGGGGCGAGCGUUGUCCGGAUUUAUUGGGCGUAAAGAGCGUGUAGGCGGUUCGGUAAGUCUGUCGUGAAAUCCUGAGGCUCAACCUCGGGCGUGCGAUGGAUACUGCCGGGCUAGAGGGUGGUAGAGGCGAGUGGAAUUCCCGGUGUAGCGGUGUAAUGCGCAGAUAUCGGGAGGAACACCAGUAGCGAAGGCGGGUCUCUGGACAGUUCCUGACACUGAGGCACGAAGGCCAGGGGAGCAAACGGG
rnacentral:rRNA from 1 species